CACGGAAAUCAAACUCCGAAUACCAAAAGCGAGUCCGGGAGAUAGACAGCGGGGGCUAAGCUUCGUUGUCGAGAGGGGAACAGCCCAGACCGCCGAUUAAGGUCCCAAAUUUUAUGCUAAGUGAGUAAGGAAGUGAUGAUUCUAAGACAGUUGGAAUGUUGGCUUAGAGGCAGCAAUCAUUUAAAGAGUGCGUAACAGCUCACCAAUCGAGAAUCAUUGCGCCAAUAAUAAUCGGGGCUCAAGCAUAAAACCGAAAUCGCGGGUGUAUAUUUAUAUAUACGCGGUAGGAGAGCGUAGUAUUCAGCAGUGAAGGUAUACCGUAAGGAGUGCUGGAGCGGAUACUAGUGAAGAUCCAUGGCAUAAGUAACGAUAAAGGAAGUGAAAAUCUUCCUCGCCGUAAGCACAAGGUUUCCAGGGUCAAGCUCGUCUUCCCUGGGUUAGUCGGCCCCUAAGUCGAGGCACAAAUGCGUAGACGAUGGAGCAACAGGUUAAAUAUUCCUGUACCACCUAAAAC
rnacentral:rRNA from 1 species